AGGACAUGGAAUAGGACAGUGGUCUUCCUGGGAUGGUCCACAAUGUUCUUGGGAGGGCCUGAUCACCUCUACCAUCACACACUGUCUAGAGUGGGGUGUACAGAGUCCUAGUUGGUUCAGAAUCCAGAAACCUGCAGCCCUGGAUCUCCAUUAGUCAGGGAGUAUGAACAAGAUUCAGUGGCCUAAAAGCAAUCCAAAGUGGUUUUGACAAAUAACAAAAGCACUGUGGGACCCAUGAGCAAGAGUAGCCAUGGAAGUUAUCAGUCAUGCAGACAAAAU